rnacentral:rRNA from 1 species
GACGACGCUGGCGGCGUGCUUACCACCUGCAAGUCGAACGAGUGGCGGACGGGUGAGUAAUGUCUGGGCAACUGCCUGAUGGAGGGGGAUAACUACUGGAAACGGUAGCUAAUACCGCAUACCAUCAGAUGUGCCCAGCUGGGAUUAGCGAGUAGGUGGGGUAAUGGCUCCACUAGGCGACGAUCCCUAGCGGGUCUGAGAGACUGACCGGCCAAGCUUGAACUGAGACACGGUCCAGACUCCUACGGUAGGCAGCAUUGGGGAAUAUUGCACAAUGGGCGCAAGCCUGAUGCAGCCAUGCCGCGUGUGUGAAGAAGGCCUUCGGGUUGUAAAGCACUUUCAGCGAGGAGGCGUUACUCGCAGAAGAAGCACCGGCUAACGCCGUGCCAGCAGCCGCGGUAAUAC